rnacentral:miRNA from 1 species
UUGUAGAAUUAAAGCACA